GUAUGUUCUGUUGGACGUAGUGGGGGAAGAUGGAGGAGGUAAGAGUUUGCGGGAUGUAGUGGGUGUUAUGGGUGCGGAGGUGGAAGAUGAAGGCUGUGGUGAAAGCAUGCAGCUUAGCUGGAGGACUGUUGUUGAUACUGGUAUUUGUGAAUGCAGGGUAGGGAGGAGGCAUUUGUAAUGUAGCGGUGAAAUGCGUAGAUAUUACACAGAACACCGAUUGCGAAGGCAGCUUACUAAACGGUGAUUGACGCGGAGGCUCGAAAGCGUGGGAAGCAAACAGGAUUAGAUACCCCUGUAGUC
rnacentral:rRNA from 1 species